GACGAACGCUGGCGGCGUGCUUAACACAUGCAAGUCGAACGGAAAGGCCCUGCUUUUGUGGGGUGCUCGAGUGUCGAACGGGUGAGUAACACGUGAGUAACCUGCCCUUGACUUUGGGAUAACUUCAGGAAACUGGGGCUAAUACCGGAUAGGCGCUCCUGCUGCAUGGUGGGGGUUGGAAAGUUUCGGCGGUUGGGGAUGGACUCGCGGCUUAUCAGCUUGUUGGUGGGGUAGUGGCUUACCAAGGCUUUGACGGGUAGCCGGCCUGAGAGGGUGACCGGCCACAUUGGGACUGAGAUACGGCCCAGACUCCUACGGGAGGCAGCAGUGGGGAAUAUUGCACAAUGGGCGGAAGCCUGAGGCAGCAACGCCGCGUGCGGGAUGACGGCCUUCGGGUUGUAAACCGCUUUCGCCUGUGACGAAGAGUGAGUGACGGUAAUGGGUAAAGAAGCACCGGAUAACUACGUG
rnacentral:rRNA from 1 species